UUGAACGCUGGCGGCAGGCCUAACACAUGCAAGUCGAACGGUAACAGCAAGCAGCUUGCUGCUUUGCUGACGAGUGGCGGACGGGUGAGUAAUGUCUGGGAAACUGCCUGAUGGAGGGGGAUAACUACUGGAAACGGUAGCUAAUACCGCAUAACGUCGCAAGACCAAAGAGGGGGACCUUCGGGCCUCUUGCCAUCGGAUGUGCCCAGAUGGGAUUAGCUAGUAGGUGGGGUAACGGCUCACCUAGGCGACGAUCCCUAGCUGGUCUGAGAGGAUGACCAGCCACACUGGAACUGAGACACGGUCCAGACUCCUACGGGAGGCAGCAGUGGGGAAUAUUGCACAAUGGGCGCAAGCCUGAUGCAGCCAUGCCGCGUGUAUGAAGAAGGCCUUCGGGUUGUAAAGUACUUUCAGCGGGGAGGAAGGGAGUAAAGUUAAUACCUUUGCUCAUUGACGUUACCCGCAGAAGAAGCACCGGCUAACUCCGUG
rnacentral:rRNA from 1 species